CUCAUGUAACCCUCUGUUGACUGCUUAGCACUUAUCCAUACAUGCAUUUAUACAUUGAUCUUUUGUAACAACACUAGUGGCUGUCUUCCUUGGUGUUGAUGAUCUCAACCAGGAAGUUGGGGAAGCGGGACAAAGACUGAUGUUCUAUCAAAUUCCCAACCUCCGUCACCUGAAGUGAGGCCGAAUCAAGUGGAUGUUGGCUUACCCAUGUGGGGCGCCUCUGCCCCACCUAGAGGGAGGUAUGGGAUCUUUAUGGGGUGAACACCAUGCACUUGGGGGUGGGCACUGUAAC